ACACCUCUUAGUAGAAAAGCUAAUUCCAUUAAUAACAAUGGUCCACCAGACAGAGAGAGCUCAUGCGAGACCAAGAGAACGUGCUUGGACUUCAUGAAAGUGAGAGGAUUAGGAGGCAGCUUGAUAGGCGAAGCAUUGACGGAGGAGCGAGUAGGUUUCUGAACAAGUUCGAAGCGGCGAUCGCAGGAAUCGAAAGCGGCUUUGAUGAGGAAAGCGAUGACGGUGGAGAUGGAGAGCAUGAGAAGGAGAGCAAAGAGACAUCGCUUCUGCAAAGGGAGGCAACCGACGGGGUGUUUGGCCAUUCCUCGAUGUUCUUGGUGUUGUUGGAGUUGUGGUUGUAAGGUAUGGAUUCAGCAGUUCCGGCAUUUUAGGGGAUGGAGGAGUAAGGAAGAGGUGGGAUUUGUGAACAUUUGGCUACUUGAAGAGGACACAUGUAAGGAGAUUUUAAGGGUUUGUUUUAGAAUUUGGUAAAUUCACCUUGCGAGUGUAGAUUUGGGCUUCUUGGCUUUGCUUUGCUUUUCCUUUCCUGUUUGCCUUGGCGUCUGAGAAUAAGAGUUCAGUAACUUUAGCUUUCUCCAUUUCUUUUCUUUGCAGCAUUCAUUCAUCCAUUUUCACACCGACUCCUCACUUUACUUGCAUUCAUUUACUACUCCUACUCUACUACUUUUUUUAGCAGAUUUUCAAUUUUUGUUUUGAAAGCAGUGGGCUCAGCCACAGCCCGUUCAGUUCA
rnacentral:misc_RNA from 1 species